rnacentral:rRNA from 1 species
GAUGAACGCUGGCGGCGUGCCUAAUACAUGCAAGUCGAGCGAACGGACGAGAAGCUUGCUUCUCUGAUGUUAGCGGCGGACGGGUGAGUAACACGUGGAUAACCUACCUAUAAGACUGGGAUAACUUCGGGAAACCGGAGCUAAUACCGGAUGAUAUUUUGAACCGCAUGGUUCAAAAGUGAAAGACGGUCUUGCUGUCACUUAUAGAUGGAUCCGCGCUGCAUUAGCUAGUUGGUAAGGUAACGGCUUACCAAGGCAACGAUGCAUAGCCGACCUGAGAGGGUGAUCGCCCACACUGGACCUGAGACCCGGUCCAGCCCCCUACGGGAGGCAGCAGUAGGGAAUCUUCCGCAUUGGGCGAAAGCCUGACGGAGCAACGCCGCGUGAGUGAUGAAGGCCUUCGGUUCGUAAACCCUUUUAUUAGGGAAGAACAUAUGUGUAAGUAACUGUGCACAUCUUGACGGUACCUAAUCAGAAAGCCACGGCUAACUACGUG